GACAAUUUGGCCGAGUGGUCUAAGGCGGUAGACUUAAGCUCGUAUUCACUACAGGUUAUCUACUAUUCGGAAGAAUGCAAGGGUUCGAACCCCUUAGUUGUCA
rnacentral:tRNA from 1 species